CAUAAUGGCUCACACGAGGGUAAGCAAUAGCCAUGAGUGAAAGAAUAGAAGCUAAACAUCUACACACGUACUAUGAUUCAUUUUUGAUCACAUACAUUGUAUUCAACCUUUACAUUCACGAUUCUUUACAUUGCUUUUCAUCAUUUGUUUUUACAUCACAUUUGCUCAUAAUAACACAUUACAUUCUUUUCUUUAACAUCUCAAAUCAUCGAAUACAAAA
rnacentral:lncRNA from 1 species